rnacentral:rRNA from 1 species
GACGAACGCUGGCGGCGUGCUUAACACAUGCAAGUCGAACGGAAAGGCCCUGCUUUUGUGGGCUGCUCGAGUGGCGAACGGGUGAGUAACACGUGAGUAACCUGCCCCUGACUUUGGGAUAACUUCAGGAAACUGGGGCUAAUACCGGAUAGGAGCUCCUGCUGCAUGGGGGGGGUUGGAAAGUUUCGGCGGUUGGGGCUGGACUCGCGGCUUAUCAGCUUGUUGGUGGGGUAGUGGCUUACCAAGGCUUUGACGGGUAGCCGGCCUGAGAGGGUGACCGGCCACAUUGGGACUGAGAUACGGCCCAGACUCCUACGGGAGGCAGCAGUGGGGAAUAUUGCGCAAUGGGCGGAAGCCUGAUGCAGCGACGCCGCGUGCGGGAUGACGGCCUUCGGGUUGUAAACCUCUUUCGCCUGUGACGAAGCGUGAGUGACGGUACUGGGUAAAGAAGCACCGGCUAACUACGUG